AUGCCGGCGGAUGUACACGAACUGCGAGACGAGGCGACGCAACGCAUGCCAACUCUCUAUUUGCAUGAGGUGGCCACAUCGUUUUUAAUUUACCGGACUGCCUAUGAUGUUAGCCUGAACGACGACUCUUGGCCACAGGAAGCGUUUGAGCUCGUCUCCGGGAGCACAUCAAAGAUAGUGGAGAAGCUCGAUCCCGGUUCAACGACAUCCCAUAACUUUGUCUUGGAGACCAAAGCGCAGGGCAAGUUUCAGGGUUCUCCCACGAUUAUAAAUUACCGUGUUCCCUCAAAGGCUGCACUCCAGAUUUGUUGGGGUUACAUGCUUUAUUUAGAGGCCUAUUCAACUCCCAUCCUUCCAUUUGAUAUUCUCGCAAAGAGAAUUGUUGGCAAACAGUGGCCGUUGGCAUCUGGUCUUUCCUUUGUUGGUGUGCUUAAUUAUCUACCUCGUCGCAAGGCAAUCGAAAUUGGUUCUGCAAAAGCAGGCAAGAAGAGGCGCUGA
rnacentral:rRNA from 1 species